GCGGGAUGAACCGAACGCGAGUUUAAGGUGCCAGAGUAGACGCUCAUCAGACACCACAAAAGGUGUUAGUUCAUCUAGACAGCAGGACGGUGGCCAUGGAAGUCGGAAUCCGCUAAGGAGUGUGUAACAACUCACCUGCCGAAUGAACUAGCCCUGAAAAUGGAUGGCGCUUAAGCGUGUUACCUAUACCUCACCGUCAGUGUUAGAGCGAUGCGCUGACGAGUAGGCAGGCGUGGAGGUUGUAUCGAAGCCUAGGCAGUGAUGCUGGGUGGAACAGCCUCUAGUGCAGAUCUUGGUGGUAG
rnacentral:rRNA from 1 species